GGGUAAGAUUUUUAUUCGGUGCAUAAAUAACUCAUUUCCGCACAUAAAUUCUUCUCACAUCCGCACAGAAGACAUCUCGUGUCCGCACACAAGACUUCUCACGUCCGGUAGUUGACUUGGUUGCUGCGUUAUGAAGUAUUUUAUCCCUUCAGUUGACUUAAAACAGAUCACUUGGUUCAUCGUUUUGAUCUUUACUGAUCUUUCUUCAGUGUGACGGACGGUCUGGACAAGAUGACUGAAAGUGCUCUCUGCCUAUAUUCACCGGAUAUGUUGGUGUCAGCAUACAAGAAGCGAUUAGGAAAAUGGGAUUACCACUCGACCAUCCAAGGAGGAGGGUUUGGGGAAUCGAUGGUAACAUCAUCCUUAUGUUCGCCAAAAGAACAUCUAUCUGGCUGGGAUAUUCUUCCGAUGCUCAAUCAUGGCGCAGCCAACACCAACAAUUUCAGUGUUCAAAUACACGCCGGAGUAUAAUGUUCUGGAAGUUACCCAACUCGCAUUCAUGAAUUACCUAACUACAAACCCAGUCAGUGAAUAUAACAGUGGUCCUACCAUGAUCAAGCUUAGUGAACCAGGAACACGAUUCUUCAUCUCUGGUGGACCUGAGAGCUGCUUAAUUAAGCUCUCCAUUGAUGUGUUCUCUCUCCCAGGCUAGGCUCGCCAGUGACAAGACCAGGAACACGAUUCUUCAUCUCUGGUGGAGACGGCAGCAGGGCUGAUGGAGUCGUCGAAGCGGGAGAGGAAAGUAAAUGUUGAUCAUUGAUGUGUCAGGUGAGUUGAGAGACAUAGAGAAAAGUGCUUUUGAAGAGAUAAGUGCUGUUGAGUUUCUGAGUUAAAAAAGCACUUUUGACAAGAAUUUACUUUAGAACAUAGAUUUUGUGGGUCACACUGUGGGCUCCACUUUUUGCUACAACUUUAUUCCCUCACGUCCAAUCUCCUUUGACUUAUCUUUGGUAAUGAUUUGACUUUUGACUAAUUAAUUAUAUUCUUUGGAUUUUGUUAUUGGGCCUAAUUAAACUGUUGAUGAGCCCAAAAAUAUAACUCUUUGU